CCUACGGGGGGCAGCAGUGGGGAAUAUUUGACAAUGGGGGCAACCCUGAUCCAGCCAUGCCGCGUGUGUGAAGAAGGCCCUCGGGUUGUAAAGCACUUUCAGUGAGGAAGAACGCCUGGUGGUUAAUACCCAUCAGGAAAGACAUCACUCACAGAAGAAGCACCGGCUAACUCCGUGCCAGCAGCCGCGGUAAUACGGAGGGUGCGAGCGUUAAUCGGAAUUACUGGGCGUAAAGCGCGCGUAGGUGGCUUGAUAAGCCGGUUGUGAAAGCCCCGGGCUCAACCUGGGAACGGCAUCCGGAACUGUCAAGCUAGAGUGCAGGAGAGGAAGGUAGAAUUCCCGGUGUAGCGGUGAAAUGCGUAGAGAUCGGGAGGAAUACCAGUGGCGAAGGCGGCCUUCUGGACUGACACUGACACUGAGGUGCGAAAGCGUGGGUAGCAAACAGGAUUAGAUACCCGUGUAGUC
rnacentral:rRNA from 1 species